rnacentral:tRNA from 1 species
GCUCUCGUGGUUGAAUGGAUCACAAUGCCUCCCUCCGAAGGAGGCGGUGCAGGUUCGAUUCCUGCCGAGAGCA